UGGAAACAGGUGGCCGUAGCGAGGGCGCGGAUGAGGGGGAGGUGGGCACCCAGAGGGGGGGGCCGUACUCGAAGGUGCGCGCGUGGUGCAGGACUAGGUUCUUCAGGGUACGAGACCGGGUUUUUCGUGUUGCGGCGUCUAGGUGAGAUAGGAUCUUGGGAACCAGCCGUCUUGGUAGAGCGGUAUUGGGGGGGCGCCGAGCUGGCUACCCUCCCCCCCUGUGGUUUCCGGAGGCUUGA
rnacentral:lncRNA from 1 species